AGCAGUCGCCGCGGGAAUACGUAGGGUGCGAGCGUUAAUCGGAAUUACUGGGCGUAAAGCGUGCGCAGGCGGUUAUAUAAGUCAGACGUGAAAUCCCCGGGCUCAACCUGGGAACUGCAUUUGAGGCUGUAUGGCUAGAGUGUGUCGGAGGGGGGUAGAAUUCCACGUGUAGCAGUGAAAUGCGUAGAUAUGUGGAGGAAUACCGAUGGCGAAGGCAGCCCCCUGUGAUAACACUGACGCUCAUGCACGAAAGCGUGGGGAGCAAACAGGAUUAGAUACCCCGGUAGUCCCUGUCUCUUAUAC
rnacentral:rRNA from 1 species